rnacentral:rRNA from 1 species
GACGAACGCUGGCGGCGUGCUUAACACAUGCAAGUCGAGCGGUAAGGCCCUUUCGGGGGUACACGAGCGGCGAACGGGUGAGUAACACGUGGGUGACCUGCCCUCAGCUCUGGGAUAAGCCUGGGAAACCGGGUCUAAUACUGGAUAUGACUCCAUGACGCAUGUUGUGGGUGGAAAGCCUUGUGCGGCUGAGGAUGGGCCCGCGGCCUAUCAGCUUGUUGGUGGGGNGAUGGCCUACCAAGGCGACGACGGGUAGCCGGCCUGAGAGGGCGA